AAAGAAGCUAGAUCGUUACACUAAAAUGACCUUCUCGAGUGAAACAACCUCUGGACGGCUCAAAUAUUGCCAAAAUAACUUCAAAUCAUAAAUAAAACUCAUAGAAGAAGAUUCUGGAUAAUAAAGCUUCAAUCUUUAACAAAAACUAAAAAGUCAACCUCGGGCAUGCACCUCAGAACCCGACAAAAUUCACAAAAUUCGAACACCCAUUCGAUUACGAGUCCAACCAUACUAAUUUCAUUUAACUCCAACUCCGAAUCGAUACUCAAAACCCAAUUAUUCUCUUUAGAAAUAUUUUUGAUAAAACAAAACCCCAAUUCUCCAAUCAAAAUAUGGAUUAAUUCAAAAAUGAACUUUUAUAAUCAUACUAAAAUAAAAAAAAUUGUAGUUUGAUACUGACCCCCAUGAAAAUACUAGAAGAACGCCGUGAAAGUCACCUCAAUCGGAGCUCUAGAACUCACGAUAUGCUCAGAAUACUAAAUAAACGCGGUCUGAUUUUUUAAUACAGAGGGAAUUUCGCUUCUGCAACCAAAACUCCGCACCUGCGGUCUGCCAGCUGUAAUUUCCGCAUUUACGAACCAUUUUCGCACAUACGGGGUUGCAGAUGCGGACCAGACCAAACUUCGCAUCUGCGAAGCACCAGCACCAUCUCUCUUCUCUGACACUAAAAUGAGCAUAACUCCCUCAAACGAUAUCCAAAUUCGACGAUUUUUUUUUUGCUAUUGCUCCGUAAUUAUGAUACGGAUCUAAUGCUUCACAAAACAGAAAUUGGAGCUCAUUUGCUUAAUUUGGUACUAUUUAUUCAUGAAGAAACGACGUCGAAACAUCAAAAAACGAGCGCAACACAACACAAACGUAUCUGAAACUCACCCGAGCCCCUCGGGACCCCGUCCGAACAUACCAAUAAGUCCCAAAACCUAACGCAGUCCUGCUCGAGGCCUCAAAUCACAUCAAACAACAUCAAAACUAUGAAUCAUACCUCAAAUCGAACUUAAUGAACUUAUGAACUUUCAACUUCUACAACUCGCGCUGAAACAUAUCAAAUCAACCCAGAAUGACGUCAAAUUUUGCAUGCAAGUCUCAAAUGAUAUAACGGAGCUAAUCCAACUCUCGGAAUUGGAAUCCGAGCCCCUUAUAAAAAAGUAAACUCCCGGUUAGACCUCUUAAGCUUCUAAAACUUCAACUUUCCAAUUUUCGCCAAAAUGCUUCAAAUUAUCCUACGGCCCUCCAAAUCAAAAUCCAGACGCACGCCUAAGUCUAAAAUAAUACCAUACGAAGCUAUUGGAAUCAUCAAAACGCCAUUUUGGAGUCACCUAUGCAAAAUUCAAACUCCGGUCAUCUUUUACCAUUUAUGCAUCUAAAACAAGAAUCCUUCUUUCAAAUUGAUCCUGAAUCAUCCGAAAUCCGAACUCGACGACACACGCUAGUCAUAAUACAUAAUACGAAGUUGCUCGAGACCUUAAGCCGCCGAACGGGAUGCUAAUUCUCAAAAUGACUGGUUGGAUCGUUACAUUCUCCCCUUCUUAAACAAACGUUCGUCCUCGAACGUGCCAAGAACAAUUUCGAAGUCAUCAAUCAUUGUGUCAACAUACCAUAAAUGCACCUGCGGGUGACCCCACAUCACCCCAAAUCAACGUAAGCCUGACAAACACCACCUCAACUGAAGAUUUUCCCUUCCACCAAUAUCAAUAGGGCUUAGAACCAAAUUUCUCAUCAUCCGAUCGUUUCCAAAAGUUCUGAUUCAUACAUCAACACACAGUAUCAGCCUCAACCAGCUGCAAUAACCUAUGUCUACACUCACCAGAUACAAACACACGACGUAACACAUUAAACAUAUGUCCAUAACAACAUCUCUGAUCACAAUAGUCGUCCAUACUUAAACCCAGCACCGGCAAUUAACCUCAUAUAAGCUAGAACCCUAUUCCAAACUUCCACAACACCGACAACGAUGCAAGAAACACGAAGACGCCAUGACUAUUCACUCAAAUCAACAAGUCACACCCAACACCACUUGGGCACACACCUUGCAAGCUAAAACCCAAUAAGCACAGCACGAAUAUGACUGAAUAUACAAGGGAACACAAGAAAGAACUAUCAAACAAGCCCGACAAGCACAACUCUCAAUCAGUAGCAUACUAUGAAUUAAUUCCACAAGGGAGAAUCAAAGUAUAUGAACAAAUCACAAGGAUCUCAUCCUAAUAUAACUUCACCGUAGCACGCAACCCGGUCCAAACAUAACAAACCUCGUGGAAACGCGAGGAUCGCAUCCUCAUCUCUGAAUUACAAGUACAUUACAUAUCAUACCAACCGAAACCUUCCACUAAUUCAAUUUCCGCUAACAACACAUGCUAAACUCCCACACCGGUAGAGCAUCUAAUUCACAAACCGUAACCAACCACCCAGAAAUCAUAUCAAAACCUACCAUAAUGGGUAACAAAAAGUCAUUCCUAGUCUCAUAGCUCUCAAUAAUGAAUAAAACAAAACGAUAGAUGCGGGCUACCACUAUAGAAUCUCCCAACAGAGGUAAACACAUAAGCAUAGUACAAAAUCAUGAAACUCACCCAUAUAUGAAGCAACAUAAGAAGACUCACCCUGAUAAGCAGAACCGAAAUAAAAUACGAAUGAUGCUCCUCUAUAAUAAAUAGAAACCAUACUUGUACGACAUCAUCUGGUGCAACGGCCUCAUCCCUACCGUAGAAAGCACAUAAAUGGUUGUGCCUCUCCUCUUGGGCGCCCUCUACCCGCCUGACCUGCACCUCAAGCUGGAAGUGUAGGGAUAUCAGCAACUGGAGUAGAACUCAUAGCAUGAAUACCCCGCUGUGACAAAUCUGUUCGGAGUCUGGGACAAUCUCUCACCAUGUGGCUGGUAUAUCCACACUUAAAACAACCUCUCCGUUGGCGUGGCUGUUGAAGCUAUCAAACACAGGCACUUUGAGACCCAUUGAUUUCUGAAGCACCGCGCAAAGCCUGAAGUGCAAACUGAACUAACUGACCCAUAUAACCUCUACCAUGGCGUACUCUGCCUCCAAAAUGGGGACUAGUAGAUCCUCCCAAACUGGGAGGCUAAGUCCUCUUAGCCUCCAUGUCAUCUCUCUACUGACCCCGCAUGUCCUCUCCUUCCAGGUCUCGCAUGCCCUCUAGUCGUCGAGCGGUCACUACCACCUACUGAAAUUGAUCAUCUGACUCCAACUCCCGAGCCAUGUUGAACCGGAUAUCAUGACUGAGCCCCUCAAUGAACCUACGGAGGGUAAUACUUCUUGAACCUCGCAAGUCUAAGUUGUUCUUUAUUAGAUGAUGCUACCCUAAUAACGAGCUGAACUGGAACAACUGGCAGUGCCGGCACCACACCCGGAACCUGACUAAUGUGAGCCCACUACUUUAAGGCGCGGGCGGCGAGAAUCUGAGCUCAUCCCCCGGUCUGUGAAGUAGCCGGUGCAACCGGAAUCAACCCCGCCUAAGCCAAUGUACCAAACAUGCUCAAAAACUAUUAAGGUCUCCUGAAGUCCAGGGACAACAACAGGCGCCUCCGAUGCCCGUCCCCCAACAUGAGCCACUGGAGGUUCCUCAACUGCUGCUCUGACAGAUGCUCUAGCUGUAGCACGUGCAAAACCCAAACAACUAGCUAUUGAUCAACCAACUCCGAAAUACCUGAAUCUGCACAAAAAUAUGCAGAAAACGUACCAUGAGUACACCACAACGGUACCUAGUAAGUAUCAAGACUAAACUAGGUGGAGUAAUGACGAGGGAUAGUCAAGAUACCAAUUGGACUAAACAACCUGAACAAGUACGAAGGUGAAAUAAUGGGGAAACAAUGUUAAUAUAAAGCUAAGCAUGGUAAGGAAGAAAAAACAAUACUCGCAAUGAAACACUAGAAACAACAAUUAGCAACAAGAAGCAAACGGAUAGUAAUGGAGUAGAAUAAGUUGGACACAGUCUAAGUCCAAUGAAACCAAAUAAAGGAAAACAAGUAACAACUCAACAAGAACAACCGCUUUUACACCAGAUCUAUUCAGGAAUUUUCACGAGGUACCUCAUAAUCACAAAUCAUGAGUCCCAAUUCUUGAACCCUAAUCACUUGACCUCUUGUUCCCACAUUACAAAUUCAUAACCACACGGACAACUCACAUGCCAAGAGAGUGACAAUAUCUAAUAUUCGCACGGACUACUCACGUGCCAACAAUAACAAUGACUCAUGACUGCACGAACGACUCACGUGCCAACACAAUAACUCUCACACAGAAGGCAAGUACACGGGAGUACAUGUAAAUGGUCAAUAACAUCAGGAUUCAUCUUCUUAACCGAUAUGGGUGAUUUAUUAAUAUGUAUGCUUGUGCAAGUGUUCUACCAUAAUUCAAGUCAACAAGUAAGAGUAGAGACAAUGAAUGACACAUAAGAAACGAUCAUCACAAAAUGCACAUGGUAUAACUCACACAGGGUAGGCACACCACUACACAAAUAACAACAAUAACAAUGCCCCUAGGCCAUCACAAGUCAUCACAAAUUAUUUUCCGACAUAGCCCUCUUGUAUCGCCACGUGCGCAAUAAUAAAGUAAAUGUCUGCCUUGUCUCGCCACGCGCAUAAUAAUAUUCUCCCCUUGUCUUGCCACAUGCGCAAACCCACAUAUAUAGCCCACCUUGUCACGUCGCAUGUGCAAAUAUCAAUAGUAACAAUAGCACAGAUAACUCAAGUGCGAACACUCCAAUAAUCCUCUCAACAAUACCACGUGUGCCAAAACAUAACAACACAAUAAAAUAACUUUUACAACAUGUGCCUAUAUGCCACAACAUUUCCUCAAAACAGUUUCAAUACCACAACCACGCAUAGCCCUCGGCUCAACAAUACUGGGUACAACAACAACAACAACAACAAUAACAAGAGAAUACAUAAGUACAACUAGGCGGUAAGAGAGAUGGCAUGAAUCAAUGAUUCUAAAUAAGGAUAAUUCAACAAUGAAAGGGAUAACAAAACUUCAAUUAAGGUUGAGCAAUUACGGAAACGAUACUAAUAAAUUUAAUUAAGGAUAAGCAAUUACGGAAAAGAUACUAAUAAAUUCAACUAAGGAUAAGCAAUUACAAAAAAGAUAAUAAUGACUUCAAUUAAGGAUAAGCAAUUACGGAAAGGAUAAUAAUAACUUCAAUUAAGAAUAAGCAAUUACAGAAAGGAUAAUAAUAACUUCAAUUAAGGAUAAGAUAUUACGAAAAAGAUAGCAUGGCAAUAAAAGAGGCAACAUCUUCAAUUAAGGCACAUAAGUGUUUUAUUGGAAACAAGGGUAAAACAUGAAUCAAUUAAUUUCAAAUAAGACACGUAAGGGUAAAUUUAGUAAAUGAGGGAUUUAACAUACUAAAACAACUUCACAUCUAAUGAACCUAAGAACCCUAAACGAUCAAUUUUCCACAAAUAAGCACGAGUACGUACUCGUCACCUUGCGUACUUGGUCUUCACAUGACAUAAUUAACACAAAUGACUAAAUUCUAAGGGGUAGUUUCCCCCAUACAAAGUUAGAAAAGUUACUUACCUAAAAGUAGCUAGACUGUUACACUAAAAUAACCUUCUCGAGGGAAACAACCUCUGGACGACUAAAAUCUAGCCAAAAAUAACUUCAAAUCAUAAAUAAAACUUAUAGGAAACGAUUCCGGAUAAUAAAGCUUCAAUCUUUAACAAAAACUAAAAAGUCAACCCCGGGCCCGCACCUCGAAAACAAACAAAAUUUAUAAAAUCCGAACACUCAUUUAAUUACGAGUCAAACCAUACUAAUUUCAUCCACUUCCAACUCCGAAUCGAUGUUCAAAACGCAAUUAUUCUCUUUAGAAAAGUGUUUUGAUAAAACCCCCCAAUUCUCCAAUCCAAACAUGGAUUAAUUCAAAAAUAAACUUCUGUAAUAAUAAUAAAAUACAAAAAUUAUAGUUAUAUACUGACCCACAUGAAAAUACGAGAAGAACGCCGCAAAAUUCACCUCAAUUGGAGCUCUAGAACUCAAGAUAUGCUCAAAAUACUAAAUAAACGCAGUCUGAUUUUUUUAAUACACAGGGAAAUUCGCUUCUGCAACCAAAACUCCGCACCUGCAGUCUGCCAGCUGUAAUUUCCGCAUUUGCGGAUCAUAUUUUGCAGAUGCGGGGUCGCAGAUGCGGACCCAACUUUGCAUUUGCGAAGCAUCAACACCAGCUCUUUUCUCCGAUACUAAAAUGAGAAUAACUCCCACAUAUGAUGUCCAAAUUCGACGAUUCUUUUUGCUAUGGCUCCGUAAUUACGAUACAGAUCUAAUGCUUCAAUCAACAAAUAAAUUGGAGCUUAUUUUCUUAAUGUAGUACCAUUUAUGUUUGAAGAAAUGACGUCGAAAAAUAAAAAACGAGUACAACACAACCCAAACCUAUCAGAAAUUCACCCGAGCCCCUCGGGACCUCGUUCGAACAUACCAAUAAGUCCUAAAUCAUAACGCGGACCUGAUCGAGGCCUCAAAUUAUAUAGAACAGCAUCAAAACUACGAAUCGCACCUCAAAUCGAACUUAAUGAACUUAUGAACUUUCAACUUCUACAACUCGCGCUGAAACAUAUCAAAUCAACCGGGAAUGACGUCAAAUUUUACGUGCAAGUCUCAAAUGACAUAACAGAGCUAAUUCAAUUCUUGGAAUCACAAUCCGAGCCCCAUAUUAACAAAUUUAACUUCCGGUAAAACCUCUUAACCUUCCAAAACUUCAACUUUCCAAUUUUCGCCAAAAUGCUUCAAAUUAUCCUACGGCCCUCCAAAUCCAAAUUUGGACGCACGCCUACGUCCAAAAUCACUAUACGAAGUUAUUGAAAUCAUCAAAAUGUUAUUUUGGAGUCGUCUACACAAAAGUCAAACUUCGGUCAACUCUUACCAUUUAAGCUUCUAAAAGAAGAAUCCUUCUUUCAAAUUGAUCCCGGGUUCCAAACCCAACAACAGUUAAAGGAAAAGAAACAGAAGAAUAAAACUAACCAACGGAGCAAAUAUAGAACUACAAAAACUCAACAAACACCACAAUCUCUUGUCAGUAUAUAGUAGAAAUUGAUGUGCAACAUACAAAAAAAAACAUAAAUUCAGCGGAGAAGCGAAGGGAAUCUCGAGAAAGCGAAGAGGGAGAUGCUGAGGAAAUUUUGGUAAAGUAGAGAUUUAAGCGGUGGGAGUCAGAGUGGCUUGCGAAAUUACCUAUGUAGACUUUCUAUAAACAAACCAAGUCAGCCAGUACAGGGACACAACAGGAAUUUGGAUAGCACAAGAGCUACGAAAUUACCCCAUCGGCAAGCAAAUAUGUCGACGAAGACGUGUCUGUGUCACCUGAUGUACUCGCACUUCUAAUAUAGUAAAAAAAAUAGAGUGGCUUGCAAAAUUACCUAUGGAGUCUUUCUCUAAACAAACCAAGUAAGCCAGUACAGGGACACAACAGGAAUUUGGAUAGAACAAGAGCGACGAAAUUACCCCAUCGGUAAGCAGACAUGUCGACGAAGACGUGUCUGUGUCACCUGAUGUACUCGUACUUCUAAUAUAGUAGAAAAAAUAGAAAUUCAGCGGAGAAGCGAAGGGAAUCUUGAGAAAGCGAAGAGGGAGAUGCAGAGGAAAUUUGGUAAAGUUGAGAUUUAAGUGGUGGGAGUUAGAGUGGCUUGCGAAAUUACCUAUGUAGUCUUUCUCUAAACAAAUCAAGUAAGCCAGUACAGGGACACAACAGGAAUUUGGAUAGCACAAGAGCGACGAAAUUACCCCAUCGGCAAGCAGACAUGUCGACGAAGACGUGUCUGUGUCACUUGUUUCAGCCAUCAGAAGCUAUAACAUGGAUCCUUCAAUCCAUUUUUGAUGGAUAUUUUUAAUACAAAUAACACAUCAUAUGACAAAUGGACCACUAUAGUGGGAUGCCCAGUGAUACAAGAACAAAUUUGAUUGUAAAACAUAAAAUACUUGGCCCUAUUUGGGAUGAUGUAAAAUAAUUUUCUUUCAAAUUCUUUGUAUUUGGUUGUCUAGAAGUGAAAAUUAUAUUUUUGUAAAUGGAAGAAUUCCCCACCUCCACUCUCCAUUAUAUUAUAUUGCACAAACUUUUUGUCCGACAAAACACCAAAGAUAGGAAAAUUCUAGAAUUGAAGAGACAAAACAAUGGAGCAAAUCAAUCAUAUCUCAAAGCCAAACUACGAACAUUUUGAAACAGAUAGCAAGUAUAAACCAAGAAAGGCUUGUAGAUCAGUUGGUGUUAUUAUCAACCCCAAUUAAAACAAAAGGAUUAAAAAGCACCGUGCUUCAAUACCAACAAAGAAACUGUUGAAAAUGUUUAAAUUCAAAUAACAACUUCUUACUGAGGUGUUGAACAAUCAAACUUUGAUCAGAAAAGAUAAGCACGAAGAAGUUGAAGAACAUACAAUGAAGUGGAUAAGGAUAUAUAAGCAACUAAAUAUUUUUCGAGAAGAGAACACCCAAGAGAUUCUGGGUAUUUCUAUAUCAAAAAGAAAAAAAUACACUGAAAAUUUAGCUUUGACAAACACACAAAUAGUAGCCUAAACUGCUAAAUUGAAUCAAUUUACGUGGAUCCUAGAGGAAACAAUCCAAACCCAACAACAGUUGAAGGAAAAGAAACAGAAGAGUAAAACUAACCAACGGAGCAAAUAUAGAACUGCAAAAACUCAUCAAACACCACAAUCUCUUGUCAAUAUAUAGUAGAAAUUGAUGUGCAACAUACAACAAAAAAAAAUUUAGUGGAGAAGCAAAGGGAAUCUCGAGAAAG
rnacentral:lncRNA from 1 species